CCACGGAAGAGGUCCUGAGUUCAAUCUCUGGUACCUCUUGAGGAAAAAAAACAGUGGUGGCGGGGUGACGUCAUCAACCAGCGCCGGAAGCCAUACCCUGAAAACACCUCCGCGAUCCUCAGGAGGAUGGUAGAGACUGGAGAGGGGCUCCACAAACGAAGAAUUGAAGAAAGAGAAAAGUAUCAGGACUGAUGCUGUUACAACUACAUUAAAAGAGAGUUUGCCAUCAAAGUGGUGGUAUUUCUAGAUAGAAAGAAGCUCUGAACUACACUUGUGAUGAAAGCAGCCUCAUUAAGACUUGGGUUCCUUGCGUUCUCAGGCCAUUUGGAUUCUCAUGAAUAAGGGAGAGAAUUUUAACCAGAUCAUCAUCAUUAGAAGUUGCAAAAGACCCCACCUCUUCAUUCCGUGGUUUAAUCCUCUUCGCAGGUAACCAAAUUUGUUCUCCAUUUUCUGAAAUGAUAAGAGCAUAGCCUCACCCCCAUACUUUAAUCCUGCCUUUUUUUCAUUCAUUGCUUAAAAUAUCUUUCCAGAAUAUUGGUUAAUCUUCAUUUCCUGCGUCCACUGUAGAUGUUUGACAUUUUCCAAAGUGACAUUCCGCAGGUGUCAAUGAAUUAUAAACAUUAAGAAAAUUUAAAGUAAAUAAAGCUUUUGCCAGUUGAUCUUUUGGUGUUAUAAUACCAUCAUCUCCCC
rnacentral:lncRNA from 1 species